rnacentral:rRNA from 1 species
GACGAACGUUGGCGGCGUGCUUAAUACAUGCAAGUCAACUGAAGCAGUGGUAGCAAUAUCGCUGUGGAGGUGGCGCACGGGUGAGUAACACGUAGGUAAUCUGCCUUCAGGUCUGGCAUAACUCCGGGAAACCGGGGCUAAUAGCAGAUGAUGCAGCGGCUCGACAUCGAGACAGUUGUUAAAGCUAUGGCGCCUGAAGAUGAGCCUGCGUCUGAUUGGCUAGUUGGCGGGGUAACGGCCCACCAAGGCAACGAUCAGUAGCUGGUCUGAGAGGAUGAUCAGCCACACUGGAACUGAGACACGGUCCAGACUCCUGCGGGAGGCAGCAGUAAGGAAUAUUGCUCAAUGGGAGAAAUCCUGAAGCAGCAACGCCGCGUGAGGGACGAAGGGCUUUUGCUUGUAAACCUCUGUAGUGAGAGAAAAAAAUCCCAAUCUUUGGGACAUGAUGGUAUCUCAAAAGUAAGCCCCGGCUAACUACGUG